rnacentral:snoRNA from 1 species
GAGAAAUGAGGAUAUUUGCUGUGUGUCUUACUGUUAUAGUGAAGACUUCAGAUCCAACUCUGAUCUUACUGUGUGC